rnacentral:rRNA from 1 species
UACAGGGGGUGCAAACGUUGCUCGGAAUCAUUGGGCGUAAAGCGCACGUAGGCGGUCUGUUAUGUCGGAUGUGAAAGCCCUUGGCUUAACUGAGGAAGUGCAUCCGAAACUGGCAGGCUAGAGUACUAAAGAGGGUCGCGGAAUUCCAGGUGUAGCGGUGAAAUGCGUAGAUAUCUGGAGGAACACCGGUGGCGAAGGCGGCGUUCUGGACUGUUUCUGACACUGAGGAACGAAAGCCAGGGGAGCAAACGGG